GUCGUUUUAUGCGGUACUCGUCCGUUGGAUGUACGUUCGACAUCCGUUCUGUCCGGUACGUGUCCGUUUCUCGUACGUUGCAUAUCCGGUGUGUGUCCGUUAUGCAGCCGUUACACGUCCGUUUUAUUCGGUCAGUACAUCAACGGACUCCAAACGGAUAACAAUUUUGUCAACGGACAACUUUUAUUUUCAUCCGUUAGACGUCCGUUCGUGCUAUCUGGUAAGGUGUGACCGAGGCUUAAACGAACAACUUUUGUGUCCCAUUUAAUUUGAAGAGGUCCAUCACCAGUUGUACAUAUUUUUCUAUUAAAUGUCCUUUUCUCUUUGUCUAAAUAUAUUUUUCAAAUCUUAAAGCGUUUGAAGUCAAUCGUACAUGAUGACGGUAAAACAUGAAACAUGUGACAUGCGCAGUAAACGUACAUUGUAUCACACUAAAAAAAUGGAACAAAUUACAAAAAUAUAUACUUAUUUACAAUAAAUAUACAGACUAGCAAAUCACACGUUUAACACAUAUAAGCUUACUUUUG
rnacentral:lncRNA from 1 species